rnacentral:lncRNA from 1 species
GUUCUGGGCUUAGAAUCCUGGUUGGCUGACUUCUGGCUUAUUGCUCUUUUCACAGCCGUAAGCUGUCUCCUGCAAUUGAUUUCUUCAGAGUCCAUGGCUAAUUCUUUAGGAUACCCUAAUCGUGGAUGGAGCUGGAGCAGGUUGGCCCCAGAGAUUGGAUCCUGGGUUGCAGAGGAGGAAGAUGCGUACUUUCCACUCUCCAUGCUGACAUAGACCGUUUUAUAUAUAUUUAUUUUUUCAUAUCACAUAAUUUCAAUCACCUUCCUGCACUAAAAAACGUAGAUUUCUCCAACAUCAUUCUUGAGGCUUGCAGUGGAUUCUAUGAGAUGAAGGUACAUUUUCACAUAUGUUCAAACUUCAUAGCCUGUCUUUCCCAGUGGCUUGUGAUGGAGUCCUCAUCAGUGUAGCGAGCUGGGGAAACAUCACCGAGGAGGAAGCAAUGACUGACUGGCCUGAUGUGAGGUGCUGCCCCAGAGGUCCGUCUUGGCCUGAACCCCCUGAGAUGAGCUGGGUCGCAGGCCCCCGAUGUUUGCAGCCAUGGUACAUAUGUGACAUUUCUGCCAACACACAUAAUUAUACUAUCCCUUAAUUAGUAACCCUGUCUUUAUACCAGGGAAAGCUUCAGCUGCUUGUCAACAAAAAUAUAUUUGUCCCACGGCCUUAAAAACACAUACACAUAAAUUGCCAAUUAUUCCCCAUUCAUAGACUUUGGCAAGACACCGGAGAGCUGUUUGCUUUCCCUUAGGCCAAAUUAAGACUUACCUUUCAUGGCAACUUAUUUGCCGGAGUAAUUUUCCACCUCAUUUAAUUAGGCUAAUUGAUUCAACAGCCCUGUCAAGGGACAACGCAGUGCUGGGUGCUUGGGGCAAAUUAUUCUGACCUCCUUUGAGCAAAGGCCUGAUUAGUCUUCCUGUUUUCAAAUCCAGAUCAGCCUUUUUUUUUAACCUUGUGUGUCUCACUUCGUGCCACAUGGGUAAGUACAUGUGGAGAGCCACUAAUUUAUUAAGCACUUUGAAAAGGGCUGGGUGCUGAGCCCAAGCUGGUGAUUCCAUCCAAGGAACAAUGAGCUCACUGAAGCCUGAGAGUGAAUAGAAAUAACUGGAUCUGGGGGAAUCGUGAAUUCAACAGAUUCCAGCGCAACUAAGAAUUGUCAUUCUCUCCAGCUGUUAGUUCAGACGUUCCAGGAGGCAUUCUGCAGGCCGUGUUCUAAUGCAUCCAGUUCAGAAAUUUUAUGGUUUUUAGGAAAAAUAAAUAAAAAUCAGUGUAGUAAGCUGGGGAAACAGCUCUGAGAAGGAAGCAAAGGCUGACUGGGCUAGGUAGAUCUUAGAUCUUGCUAAAUUGCAAAAUGGAUUUCUAUUCUCUUUUUCCAUGUUCUCCUUCUUGCCCCUUUUCUGAUACAUGUGUGUUUCACUGGACGUCAAGUGUAGAGGAAUGGCUACACCACACGAAGCAAAUAAUUAGAAGCCAAUGCUCAUUGAGGCCACACUAUGCGAAGGGACUGUUCUCGACUCUUUACGUGUAUCGAUUCAUUUAAUCUUCAUUACAACCUGAUGAACUAGGUGACAACUUAGUGCAUCGCAUAAACCUGAAUUUGCCAUUUUCCCAACCUGAAAGCAAGGGUGGCCAGGCCACCCAGGGCAAUGGUGAAUGGUGGGUGAGAGGCAGAGCCCCUCUCCAAUAAACAACCUGGACUGUUUAUUGGGUUUUUGACCAACAAGACCUCAGGGAAAUUCCGGGAGCCUGAGGUUGGCAGAGACACAUAGAGGGGUGUGCCCUGUUGUCACUGACCAAUGGCAGAUGUGCCCUUACUCUGAACGCCAUCAAGAACACCUCUGUAAUAAUUUUCCUGUCCUCAUUAAGUUUGAGUUUGCAAGGAGACUCUUGCAAGCCAAGUUAAAUAUUCUGAGGCUUUAUGUCUGAGAUUCAGGUGGCUGCCACCCUGAGAGGGGAAAUGCCUGGCAUUAGAGCUUCUCCCACACAACAAGGUGGGAGUGCGGAUUUCCUUCCAGAGAAAUCACCAUAACUCAGCCAAUAUUGUAAUUAAAAUAGCAGUCAUAUAAAGAAAAAAGAUAAAGCAACUUGAACACUCAUAAGUACAAGGCUCAACAAUAAGAUACACUAUGUAUUUACAUAUUUUACUACAGUAUGACAGUUUAAAGAAAUAAAAAGUAUAGUUUUAAAAUGGGAAGAGCAAUGGGGAGAUGGUGAUACUUUUAAUCUUUAUACGUCUUUUCUAUUUCUCUAGCAAUAUAAAUCAUAUUUUUAUAGAAAAUCAUCAAAUAUGAACCCAUUUACAACACAAUAAUGAUAACAAAACAAUGGUCUCACACUCUGCUGCUGGCUGAAUGUGUUUUUCUGUGGCACAAAUGUACCUGGUGUACUUGUCUAGCUACGCUUCCUUCUUUGGAAGUUCCUUUGUGUAGGGCAUACAUCCAUUCUGGUUUAUUCAGGAAAGUCCCAGCUUAUGCCUGUUGGCCUUGGGGAAGAGUGUCCCUUUCACUCUCUAAAAUGCCUAAGUUUCAUUGAUAUUAUGAUACAGUCACCCCAGCCAUAAGCCUUGAUGAAUAAAUAGACCUAGGAAGACAUGUUCUUCCCUGGUGAUCUGCUUUUAUGUCCACAUCGGGUUGAAUCCCUCAUGAACCUCUGUCCAAAGCAGAGCCAAUUGGAGUCCCUCUCUCAACAAUUUGGACUGAGUCACUAAGGUCAAGCCAAGCAGAUUUGAACAAUGGAGUUGAGGUCAGGUGGAGCAGUGGCCAGAUCUGUUAUGACAACAACCUAAAGGCAUAUUUGCAUGUCAUUAUUAUGGGGGUAAAGGAGUCAAAGGCUUUGGAAGGGAGACAACAGGGAGAAGGAGGUCCUGUUUUCUUGUCAUUAAUGGGUCAGACAUCACCACUGGGCUGCUGAGAAGCAUGGCUUUUAUUAUUCCCCAUCCCUUCUUCCCAUAGCUAUCAAAGGCCAACUAGGAGUGGAAUAAAACUGCCUAUAUAAGGGAGUGUUAUGUGGCCCCCCACACCAUUCUCCCUUCCCCUUCCCAGGGGCUUCUGCUCUCUUUGAAGUCAAAGGAUGGAGCACCACUCAUACAUUUUUAUGCAGACUCUUGAAAGUAAAUCCAACUGCAGAAGGAGUUGUGCUUUUCAUUUCCUGGUGGUGGCAUCCAGUCACCAGGCUUGAGAGCCCAUAUCUGGGCUACUACAGCAGCAGAAAGAGAUGGCAUGGUGUGCUACCAGGCAGCAACAAAGACUGUCCCUCUGGGGUUCCUGGUUCCUGAGAGGAUGGAAAACAGAUCCUGUACACAUCAUGGGCCCCAGAUUUGGGGUUAGGAAGGGUAACUGGGACUUGGUUCAACAGUCUUGCCAGAGACCAAAGGAGUUCGGGGCAUCAGAGCAAGUGGAUGAACCCAUUGGCUGGAGGACAAGUGAAAGAUGUGGCCUAGUCUCCAGGAGACCACCUAUGCCUAGAAGAGUUUUUUGUCAGCAUGGCUGUUGGAGCUACCACUUGACCAGGUUGAGUUCAUAGAUAAUGAACGAAGUCAGCAGUUACUACCAACCAAGGUGAUGUCUGAAAGCUCACUGUGACAUUCACAUACUAGAUACACACCUUCUCUUUCUCUGCUCUCCAUUCCAACACAAGAGGAGAGAACAGGAGGAAGGAAGCAUGUGAGAGAGACUGUGUCUCACUGUUCACCCCUGGCCAAUCCAGUCAAGCUCCAUGCAUAGUCUUCCUUGAGGCUGAGAAGGUGGAAGGAGAAGCACUACCCCUUGAAUAUGGAAUUGGAGAUUUAAUAUUGACAGCACUGACUCUUAGAGAACUGAAACGAGACAGGAAAGGCAUGCUGCCCUUUUGGGUGUUGCUAAGAGUGUCCCCACCAGGGGAAAAGGGUAGUUCGACAGAGUCCAGUUGGUAACAGACACUCGAUAAAAGAAUCCGUUUUAUGUUUAUUAUCUAAUGAAUCAAGAUUCCUCAUUAAAUCAGUUUGUGGAGAGAAUGUUAGAGGCUUCCUCUAACUCAGCAACUGUCUUUCCUGAAAAUCCUAGCUCCCAGUACACGGAGCUGCCACCGUGAAGCUUCAGUUUCCCUGCCACCUGACACCAUGGUGACUGCUCCCCACUUCCAGUGGAAAUGUGUCACAGAAGCCGCUAAUGGCCAUGAAAUUCUUCAUGCUCUGGGAUUUUUGUUUUCCUGAAACCUUUGACACAGAGCUUUCAUUGAGAAGAGGAAAUGAAGAAAGAAGCAUGGUUCCAAGUACCAUGAAUAGCCCCACCCGAGGGGAGCAGUUUAUGUGUGCAGAAAGCGCCCUGGGAAUUAUGGUACAGUGGGUGUCAGGGACUAGAAGGAAAUGAAGAGUGAGAUCCAAGGUGAACCCAGAAGUCUGCAAUAGUGUCUCAUGAUCUCUCCAGUCAACCACUAAUAAAUACUUUUGAGCAUCUAAUAUUUGCUGCGUCCUAGACAAGGGCUGAACAUCGUCACUAUGCUAGGCAAGGAUCCCAGUGAGCAAGGAAAGGCCUGCAGAUGCCUCUCCCAACGAAGACCUGUGCACC